AUAACUAAUUGGAGUAGUUUGAUGCAACUCAUUAGGUUUAAUUUAACAUUGUCCAAUGUUAGAGAGAGGACAAAAUAAAUAGAAACAUUUAAACUCCAAUAUGGAGAAGUCUGAUGUAACACUCA